rnacentral:rRNA from 1 species
UACGGAGGGUGCAAGCGUUGUCCGGAUUUAUUGGGUUUAAAGGGUGCGUAGGCGGUUCUUUAAGUCCGGGGUGAAAGCCCACUGCUCAACAGUGGAACUGCCCUGGAAACUGGAGAACUUGAGUACAGACGAGGGCGGCGGAAUGGAUGGUGUAGCGGUGAAAUGCAUAGAUACCGUCCAGAACCCCAAUUGCGUAGGCAGCUGCCUAGGCUACAUCUGACACUGAGGCACGAAAGCGUGGGGAGCGAACAGG